rnacentral:tRNA from 1 species
GGGCGCUUAGCUCAGCGGGAGAGCACUCGGCUUACACCCGAGCGGUCACUGGUUCGAUCCCAGUAGCGCCCACCA